AUUGGAGGGCAAGUCUGGUGCCAGCAGCCGCGGUAAUUCCAGCUCCAAUAGCGUAUAUUAAAGUUGUUGCAGUUAAAAAGCUCGUAGUUGGAUUUCUGUUGUAUAAUUUAUAAUAUUACCAAGGUAAUUAUUAUAUUAUCAACAUCCUUCCUAUUAUAUUCUAAAUAUAUAGGAAAUUUUACUUUGAGAAAAUUAGAGUGCUUAAAGCAGGCAACUGCCUUGAAUACUCCAGCAUGGAAUAAUAAGUAAGGACUUUUGUCUUUCUUAUUGGUUCUAGGACAAAAGUAAUGGUUAAUAGGGACAGUUGGGGGCAUUCGUA
rnacentral:rRNA from 1 species